UGCAAGUCGAACGAAGCCUUCGGGCUUAGUGGCGCACGGGUGCGUAACGCGUGGGAAUCUGCCCUUGGGUUCGGAAUAACAGUUAGAAAUGACUGCUAAUACCGGAUGAUGUCUUCGGACCAAAGAUUUACCGCCCAAGGAUGAGCCCGCGUAGGAUUAGGUAGUUGGUGGGGUAAUGGCCCACCAAGCCGACGAUCCUUAGCUGGUCUGAGAGGAUGAUCAGCCACACUGGGACUGAGACACGGCCCAGACUCCUACGGGAGGCAGCAGUGGGGAAUAUUGGACAAUGGGCGAAAGCCUGAUCCAGCAAUGCCGCGUGAGUGAUGAAGGCCUUAGGGUUGUAAAGCUCUUUUACCAGGGAUGAUAAUGACAGUACCUGGAGAAUAAGCUCCGGCUAACUCCGUGCCAGCAGCCGCGGUAAUACGGAGGGAGCUAGCGUUGUUCGGAAUUACUGGGCGUAAAGCGUACGUAGGCGGUUACUCAAGUCAGAGGUGAAAGCCCGGGGCUCAACCCCGGAACUGCCUUUGAAACUAGGUAGCUAGAAUCUUGGAGAGGUCAGUGGAAUUCCGAGUGUAGAGGUGAAAUUCGUAGAUAUUCGGAAGAACACCAGUGGCGAAGGCGACUGACUGGACAAGUAUUGACGCUGAGGUACGAAAGCGUGGGGAGCAAACAGGAUUAGAUACCCUGAUAGUCCACGCCG
rnacentral:rRNA from 1 species